rnacentral:rRNA from 1 species
UGGGGAAUCUUGCACAAUGGGCGAAAGCCUGAUGCAGCAACGCCGCGUGCGGGAAGACAGCCCUAGGGUUGUAAACCGCUUUCAGCAGGGAAGAAACUGACGGUACCUGCAGAAGAAGAUGCGGCCAACUACGUGCCAGCAGCCGCGGUGACACGUAGGCAUCAAGCGUUAUCCGGAUUUAUUGGGCGUAAAGAGCUCGUAGGCGGUUCGGUAAGUCGGGUGUGAAACUCUGGGCUCAACCCAGAGAGGCCACUCGAUACUGCUGUGACUAGAGUGCGGUAGGGGAGCGGGGAAUUCCUGGUGUAGCGGUGAAAUGCGCAGAUAUCAGGAGGAACACCAGUGGCGAAGGCGCCGCUCUGGGCCGUAACUGACGCUGAGGAGCGAAAGCAUGGGUAGCAAACAGGAUUAGAUACCCUGGUAGUCCAUGCCGUAAACGUUGGGCACUAGGUGUGGGUCUCAACCAACGAGAUCCGCGCCGUCGCUAACGCA